AUGGCCAGGGGCUGUCAGGAGCCCACGGCCCACAGCAUCUACUCACAGCAGAGGGAGGAGUGUGGGGGGAGGGCCCAGUACCCUGCCUUAGAUAGAAACCCCAAUGAACACUCACCGAACACUCACUGGAAGGAAGCAUGUGAGACCUCUGAGGGCAGUAUUCACGUGGUAGAAAUCUCUGCAUCUGACCUUGGAGAUAAACUUGCAGACCAUCACUCUGUAUCAACUUGCCAAACUUGUCAGAAUUGUCUACAAUUAGUAAUCCAUUUUCCUAGUUUACAGAAGCAGCAGCUAAAAUUUAGGGGAUAGUGCGUCUCAAGACAGGGUCAGCAGCAAAAAGAAGAGGAUAUUGCAAAGGGACUAUCAUUUCAGCAGAACCAAAAAGUAAGGUUCAACAAGCAGACAAUGGGCUGUUUGAAGAAAGGGAAGAAAACAGCCCCACAUACCUCAACAGCCCUUGAGGGCAUGAAUGCCACACCGAUUAAAAUAAUAGGAGUGGUGGCAGAGCACCACUCUUCUAAAAUGAUGUGGGGUCACAGUAUUGACUAAGAAGGUAGAGAAAUAUUUU
rnacentral:lncRNA from 1 species